AUAUAUAAAACAAAUGUUCUCUGGCAAUUUCUUGAAUCCUGCAAAUUGUAGCUUCAGAAUGGUGCAAAUUGGAUCUGUGACAGAAUUCUCAUGUUCACUGGUAUUUGCUUUUAUCCUAAGUUGUGGCCUUAGAAUUUAUGUGCAAAAGCUUCUGAAAAUGACAAAUUAUUUUUUCUCUUCCUUUCUUUUGAAAUGGAUAAGCUUCCAACUAAAAUGACUGGUAUCAGAUCAAUUAGAUUAAAUCAUUUUUAAAAGUGCAAUGAAUAGUGUAGUAAAGUUACAAAUAUGUCUGUUUGGGCAAUUAGAUAUCUUUAUCUCCUGGGUGGCGUCAAAUGAGAUGGAGGUUACCAUCUUACAAAUGUUCUGAAUACAUUGGAAGAAAUCCAGGAGAGACAUGAUGCUGUCAAGGAAAUUGAGAAAAAGCUUCUUUGACCACAGCAGGUUUACCUUGAUAUGUCAGUACUAGUUGAGGCACAAGGAGAGAUUUUAGACAACAUUGAAAGCCAGGUUUGAUUUUACUUUCAGAUGACUUUUUUGUGGAUCUGCAUGUGUGCGCACAAUUCGCAUUGUGCUUGGUUGGAUGUGAUGUGCAUUGCCAUUCUAAUUCUCCUGAUUAUAGUAGCUGUUAUAGUUGUUGGUGUCUUGAAACCUUGGAAGAGUGGCAAUGCUUGAAUGCCUCUUCUGUUACUUUGACUCUAUGGUUAGUGUUUAUUUGUCUUACUAGUGUGCCAAAGCCCAUAUUACCUCAACGAUUUGGUUUUCUUUCUUUCUUUUUUAUUUUCGGUUUUGGGGUGAGAUUUCUUUUCUUGGUGGUGGUGUUAUUUAAUAAAGAGUGUUGGGAUACUUUAUAGUUUAUACUAGGUACCCCCUUUAAUGAAAAUUUUCUGCUUAAGCUUUUUGAUUGUGUUAGAACCCACGUGUACACUACACGCAAGAGAAAGGAAGGAACAAGAGUUAAAAUAGGUGGCAGCAGGGGAUUAGAGCAAGCAGAACAGUCAGCAAUUAUUUUAUUGCAAGGUCAAUUUGGAGAAACAAGGAAACUUGGCAGAGGCUUGGCGACAGAGCAAUUGGCAACAGAGGAAAAAGUAGAAAAGGCAGCUGUAGGACCCAAAAAAAAGGAGGAUUGCAAGACAGUAGGAAUGUAGGAAGAGUGCAGGCCUCUCGAAAGCCUGAAGUGAACAGUGCACUUAGUACUUUGCUGUGUAAUUGCUGUUUGUUCUUGGUUUUGCUUUUGAGUUGUAAUCUCUUGGGUGAAGUAUGAGAAUCAUAUGUAAUAUAAUAACUUCUGUAAUCUUCCUGAAUUUGAAUGAAUAUUACUAGUGACUGGUUCUGUUUCAUUCACACACAUAUUUAGUGCAUUUCCAUUUUGGGUUGUGUUUGAGUUUGUGGAAACAAGGAAACUUGAUAUUGGUUGCUGGGUGAUCAGUGAAGCAAGGAGGAGCAUCUACUGGAGAAAUAUUGACCCAGGUGACAAGUGCUGCGGACCAUGUUAACAUGGGUACAGAUGGUCUUCGUGUUGCAAAAAGCUUGCAGAAGAAGUCAAGAAAAUGCAUGAUGAUUGCCAUUAUCUUGCUCCUGGUUAUUGCAAUUAUAGUCGUGCUUUCCAUUUUGAAACCUUGGAAGAAAUGAACAAAACAAGUCAAUCUUCUGUUACAUAAUUCACUUGGUUUUUUCUCACAAAUUUAUUUGCUUUCUGUAUUCAAUUGUUUGAGACUCAAUACAAAUAAUGCAAGAUUCCACGAUUGCACGACUGGCUCCA